rnacentral:rRNA from 1 species
ACGCUCGACACCUACGGGACAGCAGUGGGGAAUAUUGCACAAUGGGGGAAACCCUGAUGCAGCGACGCCGCGUGAGCGAAGAAGUAUUUCGGUAUGUAAAGCUCUAUCAGCAGGGAAGAAGAAAGACGGUACCUGACUAAGAAGCCCCGGCUAACUACGUGCCAGCAGCCGCGGUAAUCUGAGCGGGCUGGCAAGGC